AAAUCUGUGAACUAUAAGAGAUGAAGGCAAAACUAGUGAUUAUUACUCUUAUCCUCACAGCACAUUAUUCUGCAUGUGAGGGAAAGGACAGUGUUGAACAGACUCCAAGAGAAAUGACUGCAAAUGAAGGACAUCAAGUUACUCUACCAUGCAGUUUUUCUACCUUUACUAGAAAUGCAUAUCUUUCCUGGUACAAACAGCUGCCGAACACAUCACCAACAUUCAUUCUGAGUAAAUAUUCCUUUGGUGAAGGAUUGACAGGGUCCGAGAAUCGGAAGAGAUUUUAUGCAACACCAUUGAUAAUUCAGGAUGUAGAUGAUGUAACUCUCAGGACAGUGUUGAGCAGAAUACAAGAGUUCAAACUGCUUUUGAAGGGACAUCAGUAACAAUAAACUGCACAUACAAAACCAGUGAUCCAUCCCCGUAUCUCUACUGGUACCAACAACAUUUGAAGGAGAUUCCUGAAAACAUGAUGAUGAUAUUUG